UGAAGAAUAGUUCUCAAACGAAGUUAAAUGAUACAAACAGGGCGUGCAAAUAGGGUUUAAUUCAAACAAACACAUAACGCAGACUUAGUGGGUUAACUCUUAGUGAAAAAAACAUAGAUUUUUUUUUUUGGCAAUGUAUUUUAUAAAUGCAGCGCUGCAGUUUUCCAUUUGCUGGCAACAAUAACUCAGUGCUGUUUUAAGAAGGUAGCCGGGCGCGCACACACACACACACACACACACACACACACGACACAGAUCCACCUGAGGAAUUCCAUUUAGGGAGGGACGGGCCCGGGUUCGCUCGCCCGCGACUGUAAACUGGGAAUGUCGACUUUUCCGAAUGAAUGCGAUACGAUUUGGACAGACUCGGGCUCUGUGGGAGAUUAGCGCAUCAGACAGGCUGGGAGACCAGGUGGUGUCUCUUCUAUCGGCGUGUAUGACUCAUCGUUAACUCAUGGGGGCCGCACGGCUAAACUUUCGAGGACACUGUAACAGCGCGUGUGUGUGUGUGCGCUUAUCAGCGCUUGGAUAGAACUGCACUUUUUUUUUUUUUUACUAGUGUUGCAAUGUCUUUUUUUCCCUUAGGUGGGCACAUGUUGCUGGAAUUUGAAUUGGAAAUGUUGCAAUGCAUCCCAAGGAUCGCCUUACAUGGCCGCGCAUAGAAAAUUAACGUGAACAGCGCGGAUUCGUUAAGAUGUAAGAAGUGAGCGACCACGGACGAGGGGUGCUGAAAAAACAGACCACCUCUCCUGUCCUCAUCACUUCGAGUUUGUUUCACUGUUUUAUGCUAACGUGGAGGACGUUGCCUCUAUACUACUGGAGGGAUCGGCUGCAAGGAAACCCCCGUGUAAAGUAGCUGGAUUUAUCAACACUCUCCUAGGUGUUGGCAGACACUGCGUUUGAGGAGAGAUGACCACCCCACCUCUUAAUGACUCAUGGGAUGUGCUGAAGAUUCCUAUGGGCGGCUGGGAACAGGGAAGUAGAUGACUGAGUGCUGUGUAUACCGAAGGGAGGAUGUUGGAAUUACUCAUCAGGACAUGUGGAAUCUCAUAUAUCUGUUAACGGACAAGGCAUUUAUCAAUUAAAAAAAACAACAACAAUGAGCAGCUGAUGGGCGCCAGCUUCCUAACUGUAAAAUGAAGCACGAGAGUCUCUUGUUUAUUCGUGUAACUUGUAACUCUAAGCACAACCAUGCUUUCUGAGACGAGGAAGGUGGCAAGGGACGAGCCUCCUCCUCCAGCUCUGACCCGACACAGCCAGCCCAGCUGCAGGGAAGGUGGGAGGGAGCUGGAAGAGAGGUUUGAACAUCGUGUUGAGUGCUUGAGAAUACACACCCUUUUAAUAAUGACAAGGACUCUUAGCAUUUAUCAACUGACCAAGUGCUGAACGUGUAAAGAACAGCUGUGAGCCUGGGUCUGAGAGAAUGCAUCUGAUCCGACAUGCUCGUGACACAAGUGGCGUCUCUGGCAAGGGCUGGAGGGGUGCUGGUGAUCGGAACAGGCUCUCUGGCCUUGAGGAGAGGAGGAGGAGGGUUUGGAAUUCCAGUCCUAUUGCACUUUAUGACAUCAUCAGCCAGCCCAGAAUGGAAGAUCUGGUAAUAUCACAUCAAUGUAGACAACAUGAUAUCCAGGCCAUUGGCACAAUCCUGUAGCCUCCCCACUCUCCCCUUUAUAAACGUUUUACACAAUAACAGCACAGCCAAGUGCAAUAAAGCAUAGUGAAAGCAUUGUAAAAGCAGUGUGAAAAAGCAUAUUAAAAAGCAUGGUAAACUAUGGUGACAGCGCGUUUUAUAACCUUAGAAAAACUGCAAGAAUACCGUGGUAAACAUUUGUAAGAGUCAGCCUUGAUGCCCAGCUUGGAUUGUGGGGCUGCCUUUUCUGAAGUCAGCAGAAGCAAGAUUGAUGGAUUGCAGCACAACAUGAAAGCAGACGGACAAUGUACUAGAUACCAGCAAUCAAAGAAUUUCCAUGUGCCAGACCAACAGCAGAGCUAAGCCAGACAGAGAGGAGCAAUAUCACUGCACAGGAGCAGGAGGAGGAGGAGGAGGAAGAGCUUGAGAAAACUUGGAAGUUUUCCAACUUGGACUUCAACAGCUUCAAUCAAUUUUUUUUCUAGUACACAACACAGGAGAGAUGCUGAAUUGGAGGAUCUUUUCAGUAAAUGUGAUAUACAUGUGACUAUCUGUAACGUGAUAUUCUAUUAUGUGAUAGUUUGCAAUGUGAUACUUUCUAUCGUGAUAUUUUGUAACAACUUUAUAAGUCACCCUGGAUAAGGGCGUCUACUAUGAAAUAAAUAACAAAUAAAAGGA